AAGAACGAAUUGGUUCGUGGGCUACCCAUCAAAGAUUUCAUUACUUUUGAGAAAUGUGUUUCUGUGCCCAGGGAAAACAUCAUCGAAAACCACACUUUCCAAAGCAGAUAAACUCCAUAAGUCAUGUGCUCGAGUUAUUGCAUAUGGAUUUAUUUGGUCCGGUUAAUGUGUUGAGCAUCAAUCGCAACUCUUUCUGCCUUGUCGUGAUAGAUGAUUACUCCCGUUUCACUUGGGUUUUCUUUCUAUAUAACAAAGCAGAAAUUCCUAACCUUAUCAAAAGAUUCAUUGUGAUGAUCGAAAAUCAGACUAACAAUCAAGUGAAAGCGCUGCGUAUUGAUAAUGGAACAGAGUUCAAGAAUGCUGUUCUUGAUCAUUUUUGCGCUGAGAAAGGGAUUGUGCGUCAAUUCAGUUCUGUUCGAACACCUCAACAAAACCGGGUUGCCGAACAUUGGAAUCGAACUCUAAAAGAUGCCGCAAGGACGAUGCUCUGUGAUUCCAAGCUUCCUGUAUUCUUCUGGGCAGAGGCGAUUAACACUGCGUGUUAUGUUCAAAAUCGUGUGCUAAUCAAGAAAGCUAGAAUGAAGACGCCGUAUGAGAUUUUAUUUGGACACAAGCCAUCUAUCAUUUAUUUCCGAGUACUUGGCUGCCCUUGCACCCUUCUCCACUUGGAAUCCAAUCCCAAAUUCAAUGCCAAAGCCGAUGACUGUUAUUUUGUUGGAUAUGCAGCUCGAACUGCGUACAGGGUUUACAAUAAGAAGACUAAACAGAUUGUAGAAUCAUUUGAUGUUUGUUGGCUUGAGGAAAAUGAGACAGAUGCUAGAGUGGGUCCUGACUGGUUGUUUGACUACACAUCUCUUUUCAAAUCAUUCAAUGUGUCUUCAGAUAAUCAAGAAGGAUCUACUUUCAAUUUGAAGAUUCCUAGUGAAGACGAAGAAGAUGAAGUUGAUUAUCGACCUCCAUUGAUUUCCACUAAUCCUCCAUCGGUACCCCCUACUCAUUUUGAAUCUUCUGAAUCUCCUCAACAACCUUCUCCUGAUGCCAUUGCUACUCCCUUAACUCCAAUGGAAAAAGAGUUCAUGAAUCAUGAGACUUCCACUGUAACUUCAACUUUGAUGGAACUUAUUUUUCCAGAAAAUAUUGCAGAAGCGUUUGUAGCGGAUUCUUCUAACGAACAUUGUUCAUCCUCUACAGACCAUACAACAAAUGAUGGAGCGGUUAACAUUCAUAAUCUUACUGUUUCGGUCAAUGAUAUUAGUUAUCAGAUCCCUUCACGCAUUCAGCGAGAUCAUCCAAUAGAGAACGUCAUUGGCCAGUUAGGCGACGGGGUUCAAACGAGAAGUAAAAGUGGGGAUGUAAAUACAUGUCUCUACCCUUGCUUCAUAUCUCAAAUAGAACCUAAACCUGUCGAUAUGGUUCUGAAUGAGCCCAGCUGGGUUGAAGCCAUGCAUGACGAAUUAAAUCAAUUUGAGAAACUCGGAGUCUGGAAAUUGGUGGAACUACCAAAAGGAAAGAAAUCUCUUGAUACUCAUUGGGUAUUUCGAAAUAAACAAGACGAUUCAGGUGUCAUUGUGCGCAACAAGGCAAGAUUGGUGGUUCGAGGGUUUCGACAGGUUGACGGUCUUGACUAUAUUGAAGUUUAUGCUCUGGUUGCUCGUUUGGAAGCCAUUCGUAUCUUCCUUGCUUAUGCUUCCUACAUGAACUUUACUGUAUACCAAAUGGACGUUAAGACGGCUUUCUUGUAUGGCAAAGUCAAGGAGGAGAUUUACGUUGACCAACAACCAUUUUGUAUCAAUCAUUCAACUGGGAAGAUCAAGUUCAGGCCCUAAACAUUUCAGAACCUGAAAAGGCAAAUCUUGCUCAAGUCAAGGAUUCAAGUAAAGAAAUGGAAGCAGAUCCAGAGGAGGAGAUGAUGAAUUUUCAGUUUGCUUUCAUGGUUCAGACCACUCCUGAACCAGUCAAAUCUGAGGUUAGUGAAUUCAGUUGUUCUCAAUCUUGUAUUAAAACUGUUAAGUUUUGAGAGAUCAAAUUGAAAUAAUCAAGAGAGAGAACGAGGACUUGAAAUAUGAGGGAUAUACUCUUAGAAAAAAUCAAAAGCCCUUAAAAACUCAAAGAAACAAACCAGAGAAUUCAAGAGGGGAGAUGCGAAUUGAAAGGAGCCAUGAAUAUGCAAGGCCUUCAUCAUCAACAACAGCAGUUGGCAGCUCUGCUCUCUGUUGCUCUCCCCAAAGACAAGGAUUCUUCAUCUUCAUCCUCAUCGCAACAUAACAAUCCAUCGUCUGAAGGUGGAGAAGACGACGCUUCUCGAUUGGCAGCCAUUAAUCCAAUAUUGAAGGAUUAUUGAUCUCCGUUACUGAUAUAUUAUUGCUAUAGAAGGAUUAUUGAUGCUCUUUGAAAUUGUUUACCAUGUUUUUCUCUGGAUUGUCAAGAUCAAAUGGGGUGCUUAAUGCAGGCUAUAUCGGUUUCCAGACCAUUCAUAGAGCUUAUGAUGAUGUAUUUCUUCAAAAGAGUGCAUAUUUGGCAAUUAAGGUUCUGAUAACUGGAAUUUUGCGUUGCUUAUUUGUUUUUGUUCCAUUUGUUGGGUUUCAAACAUAUGGAUAUUACAGUUUCUGUGAUGGAAAUAAUCCGGAUAAAGUAAGGCCUUGGUGUAAAGCAAGGAUUCCUUUGGUGUACAAUUUUAUUCAAAGUCAUUACUGGGGGGUUGGUUUUCUAAAAUAUUUUCAGCUAAAACAGUUCCCAAAUUUCCUUCUUGCAUCACCAAUCCUCUCGAUUGCAGUCUACUCAAUUAUCCAUUAUGUGAAGCUACAGCCUGAGGUCUUCUUUUCACUUGGUUUCCAAGUUGCUCCAAAAAGUUAUGGAGUAGAUAUAAACAACACUCACACAUCAACAGUAAUUCAAGAAUCAGAAGAAGAUCAGACUCUGAAAAGGAGAAAACAUAGCACGGAAGAAGAAGAGGGUCCCACUCCCACUCCCACUGUGCUUUCAAAGAAGGAUGAAAAAUUAGGAAAAUUUUCAAUCAUCAUCAUACCAUUCAUCUUACACUUGGGGUUCAUGGUGGCUACAGCGUUUUUUGUCAUGCAUGUUCAGGUUGCUACAAGGUUUUUGUCUGCAAGCCCUCCAGUGUAUUGGUUUGGGGCGUAUGUUUUGGCAUCUCAUGGGAAGGGUUGGGGAUACUUGAUAUGGGGAUACUGUGUAGCCUACAUCCUCAUUGGAAGUCUUCUCUUUUCAAAUUUUUACCCUUUCACUUAAAACCCUUUUUCAAGUUUGAAGAAGCUAAGAGAAGAUUUAGAAACCCGUUUUUGGUUCUUAAAAGACGAUGUAUAUGUACAUGAUGAUGAUUAGUUUGUUACAUACAAGUAGAUGGUUAUAGUCAUAUAGAAGGACUAGGCCUAACUUUUGUGCCAUAGCAUAAUCACUUUCAGUUAGAGAAAGCUCCAAUUUGAUGAAAAACCAAACUUGAUUUUUCAAACAAAAAUGGGUAGGGUUGAAGGAGGAAAAUAUGGCUUUAGCUACUGGGUUGGUGAACUGCUACAAUGCCUUUGCUGCUGGAGAGCUCUCUCCACAACUUUCAUUCACGGAUCUUGAUCAAAUUCAUCCUGAAGAUGUGGAAGAGAUGGAUAUUACUUGGCAAAUGGCAAUGGUGGUAUUCAGGGCUAAACAAUUCUUAAAAAAGACUGGAAAGAACAACUGGGGUGUAAAUUCAGACAAAAAGAUGGUUUUUAGCAAAGGAAAGUUGCGUUGUUAUAAUUGUCAUGAACCAGGACACUUUGCGAGGGAAUGUCCAAAACCAAAUCAGCGAGAAAACUCCAAAAGAACCAUGGUGCCAGUAACGUAUGUUCACAGCAACAACAGAGGAUCAACAUCAAACAACCAGUCUGCAAACAUGGCAACGGUAGCUCAAUCGUUCAACUGGGAAGAUCAAGUUCAGGCCCUAAACAUUUCAGAACCUGAAAUGGCAAAUCUUGCUCAAGUCAAGGAUGCAAGUAAAGAAAUGGAAGCAGAUCCAGAGGAGGAGAUGAUGAAUUUGCAGUUUGCUUUCAUGGUUCAGACCACUCCUGAACCAGUCAAAUCUGAGGUUAGUGAAUUCGGUUGUUCUCAAUCUUGUAUUAAAAGUAUUAAGUUUUUGAGAGAUCAAAUUGAAAUAAUCAAGAGAGAGAACGAGGACUUGAAAUAUGAGGGAUAUACUCUUAGAAAAAAUCAAAAGCCCUUAAAAACUCAAUUAGAAAAUAAAACAAAAGAUUUUAAAAAAUUGCAAGAGGAUUACAGCAACAAAUGCGAGAACUAUGAUCAUCUCAAAAGAAAACUUGUUGUUGUAACCAUGGAAUUUGACACAUUGAAAAGUUGUUUUGAAAAAGCUGAAUUUAAUUUCAAAAAAUACGAUGUGUCAAGUGAAAAGAUUGCAAAAUUAAUCGAAGGUCAAUCACACUGGAGAGAUAUCACUCAUGGUAAUCAAAUAAAAGUUGGAUUAGGUUAUGAGAGUGUCCCUCCUCCCUUCAAUCACAAUUAUACUGCUAUUCCUCUGUCUCAAGAAGAAAUUGACAAAGAACCUUGCAUGGUGUACGGAAAGUCAGCUUCUGAGCAGGAAAUACAGUCUAGUUAUGAGACUUUGCAUACUAAUGCUUUUCCUUCAAGUGCAGAUAUAUCAAUAGUCCAGGGGGAGCAUGCUGCUGAAACUUUUGAGUCAAAUAAUAUUGUGAUUGAGUCUGGUGUCAGUCAUGAGUCUGUGUCAAAAUCAAACACAAAUGUUUUUGUGUCGGGUGGUAUUUUAUUUCAGUCUGAAAAUGAUUCUAAUAGUGUUGUUUCUGAUCAAACUGCUAAAUCUGAUUUACAUGUCUCUGCAUCUAACACAUCUGUUACUAAAUUCUAUGAUGGAUCUUGCAAGUGUAAUUUUGUUAGAAAUGGAAAAGCUAAGAACAACACUAACAACAGCAGUGCCAAAGUUUCUGAUAACAAACAAAUUUGUUUUAACUGUGGUACUGCUAGACACAUUGGAAGAAACUGCAUGAACUGGAUGUUUGUAUCGCAUACAACAAAAAGAGGGGAGAAUGAAUUUCGGGGACGAUCCUUGACUAGGAAAAUUCCCAAAACUCAUUCUAGAAAUGGAGAUUUGAAUACAACUUUAAACAAAAAAUUCAAAAGAUUUCAAAAGAAUAAACAGGUUUUUUGCAAAAACAACAGAAGUUUGCCAAAGUCAACUCAGGCCAAGCCUAAGUCGAAUUUGUCAAAGAGCAGGACAGGAUCUUCUAACUCUUCAAGUAAGAGAUCCACCAGUUCAAAGCAAACUCACAAAUUUUUGAAACCUAACUUUCAAUGGAUUCCAAAAUCUCUUUCCGAUCAAUCUCCAUUACUCUCCAAUUCAAAAGCAAAGAAAGAAUCAAAUGAAAAACUUGUAAAAAGAAAAAAUCAACCCGAGAUUGUGAUGACCUGGGUUCCCAAAACUAAAUAAUUCCAUUCAUCGUGCAGGGACAGUUGAGGAGGAAUGUCGCCAGACCUUGGUAUGUCGACAGCGGCUGCUCUCGGCACAUGACUGGAGACAUAUCCCAAUUGCACGACAUUCAAACUUUUAAUGGGGGAUGUGUUUCUUUUGCGGGCGGGGAGGGUGGAAAAAUUACCCAAAGAGGAACUGUGUCCAAUGGAGUGUUGAAUUUUGAGAAUGUUAACUUUGCUCCAGAACUGAAGCACAGCUUGCUGAGUGUAUCUCAGAUAUGCGACAAGGGCUACUCUACUCAUUUCACAGAUAAGGAAUGUCUGAUCUUAAAACCUGGCAUUAUUAUCCCUGACGAUUGGAUUCUUGUAAGAUCUAAACGGGAUGGAAAUGCCUACAUUAUAGACAUGAAUAGAAAUUUCCCUGAUGAUGUCACGUGUCUCUUCUCCAAAGCUUCUGAACAAAAUGCGAUGUUGUGGCAUCGUCGUCUCGGUCAUGCGAAUGCAAAGAACCUGAAUCGGCUUGCGNUGGUUCGUGGGCUACCCAUCAAAAAUUUCAUUACUUUUGAGAAAUGUGUUUCUGUGCCCAGGGAAAACAUCAUCGAAAACCACACUUUCCAAAGCAGAUAAACUCCAUAAGUCAUGUGCUCGAGUUAUUGCAUAUGGAUUUAUUUGGUCCGGUUAAUGUGUUGAGCAUCAAUCGCAACUCUUUCUGCCUUGUCGUGAUAGAUGAUUACUCCCGUUUCACUUGGGUUUUCUUUCUAUAUAACAAAGCAGAAAUUCCUAACCUUAUCAAAAGAUUCAUUGUGAUGAUCGAAAAUCAGACUAACAAUCAAGUGAGAGCGAUGCGUACAGAUAAUGGAACAGAGUUCAAGAACGCUGUUCUUGAUCAUUUUUGCGCUUAGAAAGGGAUUGUGUGUCAAUUCAGUUCUGUUCGAACACCUCAACAAAACAGGGUUGCCGAACGUCGGAAUCGAACUCUAAAAGAUGCCGCAAGGACGAUGCUCUGUGAUUCCAAGCUUCCUGUAUUCUUCUGGGCAGAGGC
rnacentral:lncRNA from 1 species